rnacentral:misc_RNA from 1 species
CAGGGGAGUAAACUUUGGAAAACUCGUCUUUUCGAUCCUUGAAUUCAAGGCGACAGGGCUGCCUGCAAGCCCUGCAAGCCCUGCGGUUGCUUCAGGACUUGCCAUGUGUCGUGUCCCUCGCGCGAGAGCGAGAGCGAGGGCAGUCUGCCGUCUGCUUGUGACGUCACGAAGUAUCACACAAUGCUCAGCUGUGCAAGCAGUAACCGAACAGAGGGUUCCGGGAGAAGAUGUAUACUGUAUCCAAGGGCCCAAGCAAAAUCGUUGCUAAGACGCGGAGAGGUAUCUCACAAAACCUUGAGAGGUUGGAUACCCUCCGCGACGCUAGAAAAUCCACAGAUUCCAAAGAAGACCAGGAUUAUGUUAUAAACACUCCGAAACCUGUUUUCCAUAUGAAUGGGAAGAAAUCUAACCACAAUAGAUACCACCAAGAAGUCAUAAGUCCACAGCAUGAAGAAAUAAUUAAAUUUAUUUAUGACUCUUGGACAACAGUAUGCAAAGAGUGUGAAGUAGAGCCACAGGAAGACGGACAAAGCCCUCAGCCACCUUCUCCUGUGUACUACAACGACUGCGAGCCCAGCGAGCUCUUGCAAGAUUUCAAGCCAUUUGACCUGGAAUCAUGGUGGGGCAAGAGAUUAUUCAACAACAUAACAAAAUCAAUUCCUUGAACCAUAUGGAGGACACUUUUGGAAGCUGGUGUGCAAUUUCAUUAUCAUGGGAGCCAACACAACAUGAUGAUCAAGUGUGGCAUGUUUGCCAUGCAUUAGUGGUUCGUGGAAUGCCAAUUGAGAUGAGUCUUGGUGUAUUUGUGGACCAAAAAAAUUUUAAAUGCAAGAAAAGGCAUCUAGAAGAAACACCUUCAAGAUUCCUGACCGGAUAGUGGACUCGUACUCAAUGCGCCCAUUUCGUCUACUAAAAUUGGGCCUAUUAGUAAGAGGUUGACGAUUGGAUGAAACUGAAGGCCACCUUUUUAUGUGAGCUUUUCUUUUUCACCUCGUCCCUAGCAGUAGUCAAAACAGAGUAGUUUAAAUGAGUGCUUGUACAACUUCACUGAGUUGUAUACAGCAUUAUGUAGUGAAAGAGAAAACAUAACCAACAGCAUUGGAAUAAUCUGUCUUAUUCUUUAUAAGCAGCUAUUUUGUUUUCUUUUUGGAGAGGAAGCCAGUCAUGAGAGAUGAUGUGUCCAUCCUUUUGUAGCGGCACCAUAAUUUUUUGUGUUUGCUUUACAAAGAAAUUUUAACCAACUGUUAUCGUGUCCAUUGUGUUAAAUAUUGUAAUAGGUUUUGCUACAUUGUUAUGUUUUCUAAUUUUUGUACUAGUUAAAUAUUUUUCUUCAGAGGUUUCAUUAUUUUAUCAUUAUAUCACAGAAAUUAUUUACUUUUUUGAUCUUUUUUUUUCUCCUUUUUUUUCAUCUUAUCUUCCUGUUCAAAUUUGAUUCUGCACUUUAAAACGUCUCAUGAACUUGCAGCACCAACACACACCAUCAUCAGUUGUUAAAUAAGAUUAAUGUACUACCAGAUUUAACCACAUAAAAAUUUUAUUUCAUGAUCAAUUUUCCUGAAAGUUCCUAUAUUUUGCUAAGGGUGUGGCUCACAUUGUUGAAUACAGCAGGUUAGCAAUAAUGGCACAUUUUUAUGUUAGGAAAUUUCCUGCUGCAUUUAAAAUUGAACCUCACUUAAUUCCUUUUUUCCCCCUCAAGGACCUGUGUGAGAGUGUGUGUGAAUAACAUGCUGUUACUUCCUGCUAUGUUAUAUUUUUAUAUUGUAUAUUUAAGGUGCACAAUGAUUUGGCAUUUUAAUAAUGUGACAAUGAUAUUCAUGUCUGCUCAUGAUGAUGGUGUUUGUUGUAGACUUGAUUUUGUAUGUGAUGUUGAAGGGUCAAUGACUUUUGUUGAGAAAUAUCCGAUGUUGGGGUCGGAUAGAAAGCUGAAGUAUUACCACUCGAAAAGCAAUAUUCAUCAUCAUUGUUCCAAUAAUUUUAUGUGGUACAAGCUUUCACUUAAAUUGUGCUGUUAAAUGUCUCUCUUACUUGUUACAUUUAAUAUGCAGGGUUGCCAUGUAAGUGGUUAAGAAUUCCCUGUGUGCUUUCAUGUAGGAGAGAUUGUUUACCAGGCAAUUUCUUGGCACUGAGGCCAAGAAUUUACCUGGUAUGUAGGCUAAAAUGGCCAAGCCUCAUUUCAACAUACAUCUUGGGAAUGCCCACUUUUAUCACAACACUUCACAGAUGUAUGGGGAACACCUGCCUUCUCCCUUCCAAUUUUAUUUUUGGACCUGGAGCUUGCUUUGGCAUUUUGUCAUGAUAAGCAGUGUUUCUAGAUUGAAACUAUCUUCCCUCUGUGCACUCUCAUCGCUCUAUUUAGUGAAACUAACUGGCACUUGUGUCAUUUUAUUAAUCAUAAAAAUUAUCUUUUCUUAUGACAGAUUUUUAGGUAUCUUAUCAGAAUCUUCAUUUAAUUAACACUGUUGAACUAUUGUAAGGAUGGUUCUAUGUCCCUUGCCUGACUGUUAUUGUGGCAAAGUUGACUGGCUAGUCUGUAAUGUUGUUGAAUGUCGGUGUACCUUUGACUUUGCGUCAUUUGUGCUAGUGAAUACAUAUUUGUUACAGAAACUUGUUGAGUAAAAAGAAAACGGAACAAAAAUGAAGAAUAAGAUGCGUCACACGUU